UACAAUCCCUUUUAAUAUAUAUAUGCUACCAUCUAUUCAGCUAUUGUGUACCAUCACAAAAAUCUUAAUAUUAUCAUAUGGCAUACAAAAAUCGGCUACAGAGGUGAAGUUUGAAUCGAAAUGAUGAUUAUCAUUUUGGUAAAAUUGGUUGAUCUGAGUGGGAUGUGGGUAUGAUGGGAAAAGCCGAAGGACACUGCUGUUCAAAGAAGAUUGACAUUAUUUGUGGUGUUUUUUGAAGUCAGUUUUGGUCUGCUAUCUCUUUUUUUUUUCUUUUAGAAUUGCUCAAGAUUUGUGUGCUGUUAUUAUAGAGAAACGAGAUUUCACUUUUGUUUUCUGGAAAUUCCAAAAUGUAACAUUUGAGUUUUUUUUUCGUAAAGACUUGAGUUUUU
rnacentral:lncRNA from 1 species